UGACGAUGGACUUUUACUGGCAAUUAC
rnacentral:piRNA from 1 species